AGGCACUGGAAUGGGCUGCCCAGGGAGGGGGUGGAGUCCUCAUCCCUGGGGGUGUCCAAGGAAUGACUGGAUGUGGCACUGAGCGCUCUGGGCUGGGUGACAGGGUGAUGAUCAGUCACAGGCUGGACUUGAUGAUCUUGGAGGUCUUUUCGCACCU